AUUGGAUAUGUUCAUACGUAUGAACUCCUUGUUUCUUAAGACUGUUCUAUCAAUUCAAAGGUAAUUAGACUCUGAAUCCAAGGACAACUUGAACGUAUCACUUACUUUUUCUCUACUAUAUACACCGCAAACUUUGGUCUCUUAGCACAAACAAGCUUGCCAACUUCUCUAUCUAUAUACACGUAAUCCCAGGGCCAAGCAACCACCUAGGACCUCCAAAAAUGUGGGUUGGGCCCAGGGCUUCAAAACUCAUAGGAAUACCAGCAAGCAGCAGUCCAUGUUCGAGUCUAGCACCAGUUGUCCAGAAGAAAGCAAGAAGGAAAUUGAAGGGACGGGAAGGAAACUAAAAGGACUUAUUCGACCAAAAGGUAAGUUGUCUACUCAUCUUCUUCUAUUCAGAGGAUCAGAAUUCCCAAAUCUGAAGAUUGAAAUCUCCUCUCAGCCUCCCCAAGAACUUUUCUGUUAACGUUUUCUCUUUUCAGCAUCAGUGAACUUCUGAUAUGCCCAUAAGUUUUCUACUUUCCUCCACUCUAGCUGGCAUCAUGCUGCAGCUCCUGCUCAUCUCCACUCUCCAGUGGCCAACCCUGUUGCUCAUCUAUUAAGGUAUUAACUCUUUAGGUCACAUUUAUUGAAUAUACGUAUUUAUCACAUUAACAUGUUUGCCUUGUUCUGCCAAGAAUCUUCUUUUGAUAACCUGUUUUAAUUCUUAUUCAUUAUUGAAAUUAAUUUAGUUAACCUUGUUUAUUGAACAAGUUUGUUAUUGUUGUUUGCAUUUCGUAAAAUUGUCUGUUAAUCUCCUUUUUCUAAUGCAGAGGACGGCUCUUACAGUAUAUAUUUUCUUGUAUGGACGAGCAUAUUUGGUAAGUUAUAAUUUUAUUUUUCCUCUAUUUCCCCCGAGCCAUACAAAUUGCUAGAGUUGUCUCUGUGAUAUAAACAAUUAGAAAGCCAUCAUUUGUUAGCAUAUUCUUGAGAGAGAGAAAAACUCUUGGUGAUUUUCUAGAGAUAUGAUUUGGCCCAACUUUUACUGCUAAUGGGGACACAACACUGAAUUGGGAUUUCUAAAUUUAGAAUUCUGUCCUUGGAUUUUUGGAUUGUAGAAUGAUGAUUAUGGGUAGAAUUGUCGAAAAAUUAUGGAUUUGUGGAUUUCAGAAUUCUAUCCUCUUCAUUCUGGAUGGAAGAAUAUUGAAACAAUAAAAUUCAAAAUGUGAGAAGACUAAAUAUGAUACUAGUCUAAUCUUUUGGGUUGCAAGUGAUAUUUUAUUUUGCAAUUCUAUCUUUUAGAUUGUA
rnacentral:lncRNA from 1 species